AGGACGAACGCUGGCGGCGUGCUUACACAUGCAAGUCGAGCGGUAAGGCCCUUCGGGGUACACGAGCGGCGAACGGGUGAGUAACACGUGGGUGAUCUGCCCUGCACUUCGGGAUAAGCCUGGGAAACUGGGUCUAAUACCGGAUAUGACCUUCGGCUGCAUGGCCGAGGGUGGAAAGGUUUACUGGUGCAGGAUGGGCCCGCGGCCUAUCAGCUUGUUGGUGGGGUAAUGGCCUACCAAGGCGACGACGGGUAGCCGACCUGAGAGGGUGACCGGCCACACUGGGACUGAGACACGGCCCAGACUCCUACGGGAGGCAGCAGUGGGGAAUAUUGCACAAUGGGCGAAAGCCUGAUGCAGCGACGCCGCGUGAGGGAUGACGGCCUUCGGGUUGUAAACCUCUUUCAGCAGGGACGAAGCGAAAGUGACGGUACCUGCAGAAGAAGCACCGGCUAACUACGUGCCAGCAGCCGCGGUAAUACGUAGGGUGCAAGCGUUGUCCGGAAUUACUGGGCGUAAAGAGUUCGUAGGCGGUUUGUCGCGUCGUUUGUGAAAACUCACAGCUCAACUGUGAGCCUGCAGGCGAUACGGGCAGACUUGAGUACUGCAGGGGAGACUGGAAUUCCUGGUGUAGCGGUGAAAUGCGCAGAUAUCAGGAGGAACACCGGUGGCGAAGGCGGGUCUCUGGGCAGUAACUGACGCUGAGGAACGAAAGCGUGGGUAGCAAACAGGAUUAGAUACCCUGGUAGUCCACGCCGUAAACGGUGGGCGCUAGGU
rnacentral:rRNA from 1 species